ensembl:lncRNA
AACCACAGUUUAUUAAAAGCAGAAAUCAGUCAGUAUUUGCUAACACAUCUGUGCUGGUCAGAGAUUGCUGUUUGGCAACCAGAGCUGCCAUUCCAGUUUAAUGGAGGAGGGAGAACACGAGCUCCUUGCCUUCCUUGUCUAUAAAAACAUUCAUUCAUAUAUAAAUAGCUUCCAUAUAAUGUAUAUUAUACAAUCAAGACAGUCUCUGGGUGAAUUUGUGGAGUGGGAAGAGCUGGGAACAUUCAUAUAAAUAGACCUUACUUAGCUGGUUUGUCCCUAGAAAUGACACAGCACGCCAAGAGCCAAGGACUUGCCAAUCCCAUUGGAGGUGGAAGAGGUGUGGGCAGCACCGCUGAGGAUGGAAGAAGCUGCUUCUGCUCUGAGCUCUUAUCUUCUUCCCGGGCUGCUGCUGCUCCUGUCCAGCUCCUGGCUCGGGCGCUGCAUGGAGGAGGCUGUGGUGGUUGGAGAGGGUCAGCAGGGCUGGACAUCCCACUGGGCUCAGAGCAGGGUGAUGGCAGAGGGCAGACGAGGCAAUAACUUGGUUAAAAUACUCAAGGAGAAACAAGAACUUAGAAGGGGGAAGUGUGAGAAUGAACAGCCUGGAAACAGCCACCCGCAAUCCAGGAGGAAAAAAGUUAUUCUGGUCUAUGAGUCCUUAAAAAAAGGGAUGUACAAAGCCAUGGUGAGCAAAUCCUUUUGGAGAGGAACCACCUCUUGUGCCAGCACCCUAGAAAUCCCUGCUCAGGGUGUUCUGUCCCACUCUUUAUGCUCAGGACACCCGAAGUUGAACACCCCAGACCAAGCUUCAGCCUCACACCACAUUUCCCUAACUUCUCGUGCCAGGCACGUGUCUUUAAGUGCUAUGGACAAACGGGAUUUAUCCCACUGGCUUUGUCUGGCAAAGCUCAGCAAUCCUCCUACUGACUCCUCAGUGUGUCUGCCUGCUCCUCAGGUAGCUGCUACAGGGUGAGAAGGAAGGGCUGAGAGGCAAAGGGACGUUCUCAGAGGGAUGCUCAGCAUGAUGGGUGCUUAAGGCAAGUGCUACCCAACUACGUUGAGGGCAGCAGGGACACAGACCUGUUCAAGGAUCUGCAGGAUAAGGAAGGAAAGGGCUGUUCAGCCAUAGAUAGGAAGACUUCAUCUCUACACUACAGCUGUGGAGCCCAGGAUUUCCUAAAUCCCAGUGUAGGAUGCCUGGUUCCCAGCGGAAGGUGGAGUAUCCCAGGAGGGAACCAUGCACCCGGAGCAGCCCAGGAAGCAGCUACCAGCAUGGGAAUGCUGGAGGCUGAGGGUGACCCACACCAGCAAAACUGCAAGGAAGCAAAAUCCUGGAGCUCCAGCAUCUUCAGCACAGUCUCCAAUCAACACCGAGAGCUGCAUUCAAGUUGUACCUGACUCUGAGUAGCUACACCAGGCCCAGGGGAGUUGAAGGCUGUUUGCAGCCAACCAGCAAGUCCUCACAGCCUGAACUGAAGCACUCCUGAAACACAUGAUCCAAAUUUAAAACAGCAGAGAGCUUGCUUUAUUGCCAUUUUCUUCCCAUCCUCACCUGAGGAGCAGCAGCAGAGCACUCCAUGCCCUCAGCUACCAAUGUGCCACGCUAGAGAGAGAGAUAUAUAUAUAUUUAAAAAUCACAACCUCAAUGUGUACUAAAGUGUUCACAAGCAUCUGGGCAGACUCUUUACAAAGCCUGGAUUUAAGUUUAAAAGCUGCAAGGAGAAACCAGGGCAUGAUUAGAACAUUUCCACAAAGCUCAGGACGCAGCAGCAGGAGCUCAGUCCCCAGUGCCACGGAGGGAAGUGCAUCCAGCCCCCAAAAUGAUGUUUUCUGGUCAUCACCAUGCCCCAGCGGUCUUUAAGCUCAGCCUAAAGCUGAUACUAACCCUGGUAUGUCAUUCCAGCAAGGUGGUCACGAAGCCAUACAAAGUCCAGACCCUUAAGCCAGCGUGGAAGAGGAGGUGGAAGCACUUUCUACAUGGUUUGGCUCUAUCCUGACCAGCAAACACCUGAUACCUCCUAAGAUUCCUUGUUCAGCCUCUCCAACUACAGCUUGCAGGCCUAAGAAGGAUUGUCUAAAGGGUUUUAAAUGAAAUGACAGUAGGAUACAUGCCCUGGUAUGUGGGUAAUGUGUUUAGCUUUAAACAGCACUGUGAGGGGAGGCAGAAAACCCAACCCAUGACUUACAAAAUACCCAAGUUAAAAAUCCUGAACACAAACAAGUGAAAAACUAUGACACUGAAAAACCCCCCGUUGCUGUGAAUGCUGCCUAAGCCUACCUUAAUAGCAUUCCGAGUCCAAACACCUUAAACACACACUUCUAAAGGGCUUUUUAAUUUAAUGGCAUCUAGAAAACACAAACAGGUAGGUAGCACUCGGCAGAGACACACAGGAGGAAGGCGAGAUGCUAUCACAGUCC